rnacentral:rRNA from 1 species
GACGAACGCUGGCGGCGUGCCUAAUACAUGCAAGUAGAACGCUGAAGGAGGAGCUUGCUUCUCUGGAUGAGUUGCGAACGGGUGAGUAACGCGUAGGUAACCUGCCUGGUAGCGGGGGAUAACUAUUGGAAACGAUAGCUAAUACCGCAUAAUAGCAGUUAUUGCAUGAUAACUGUUUGAAAGGUGCAAUUGCACCACUACCAGAUGGACCUGCGUUGUAUUAGCUAGUUGGUGGGGUAACGGCUCACCAAGGCGACGAUACAUAGCCGACCUGAGAGGGUGAUCGGCCACACUGGGACUGAGACACGGCCCAGACUCCUACGGGAGGCAGCAGUAGGGAAUCUUCGGCAAUGGACGGAAGUCUGACUGAGCAACGCCGCGUGAGUGAAGAAGGUUGUCGGAUCGUAAAGCUCGGUUGUAAGAGAAGAACGAGUGUGAGAGUGGAAAGUUCACACUGUGACGGUAUCUUACCAGAAAGGGGCGGCUAACUACGUG